rnacentral:rRNA from 1 species
UACGGGGGGGGCAAGCGUUGUUCGGAAUUACUGGGCGUAAAGGGCUCGUAGGCGGCCAACUAAGUCUGACGUGAAAUCCCUCGGCUUAACUGAGGAACUGCGUCCGAUACUGAUUGGCUUGAGGCUGGGAGAGGGACGUGGAAUUCCAGGUGUAGCGGUGAAAUGCGUAGAUAUCUGGAGGAACACCGGUGGCGAAGGCGGCGUCCUGGACCAGCCCUGACGCUGAGGAGCGAAAGCCAGGGGAGCAAACGGG